rnacentral:rRNA from 1 species
UACAGAGGGGGCAAGCGUUAUCCGGAUUCACUGGGUUUAAAGGGUGCGUAGGUGGGCAGUUAAGUCAGUGGUGAAAUCUCCGGGCUUAACCCGGAAACUGCCAUUGAUACUAUCUGUCUUGAAUAUCGUGGAGGUAAGCGGAAUAUGUCAUGUAGCGGUGAAAUGCUUAGAUAUGACAUAGAACACCAAUUGCGAAGGCAGCUUACUACCCGAAUAUUGACACUGAGGCACGAAAGCGUGGGGAUCAAACAGG